UACGAAGGGGGCUAGCGUUGCUCGGAAUCACUGGGCGUAAAGGGUGCGUAGGCGGGUCUUUAAGUCAGGGGUGAAAUCCUGGAGCUCAACUCCAGAACUGCCUUUGAUACUGAAGAUCUUGAGUUCGGGAGAGGUGAGUGGAACUGCGAGUGUAGAGGUGAAAUUCGUAGAUAUUCGGAAGAACACCAGUGGCGAAGGCGGCUCACUGGCCCGGUACUGACGCUCAGGUGCGAAAGCGUGGGGAGCAAACAGG
rnacentral:rRNA from 1 species